rnacentral:snRNA from 1 species
UUAAAUAUCUAGCACCAUAAGUU